CCUACGGGUGGCAGCAGUGAGGAAUAUUGGUCAAUGGGCGCGAGCCUGAACCAGCCAAGUAGCGUGAAGGAUGACUGCCCUACGGGUUGUAAACUUCUUUUAUAAAGGAAUAAAGUGAGGCACGUGUGCCUUUUUGUAUGUACUUUAUGAAUAAGGAUCGGCUAACUCCGUGCCAGCAGCCGCGGUAAUACGGAGGAUCCGAGCUUUAUCCGGAUUUAUUGGGUUUAAAGGGAGCGUAGAUGGGUUGUUAAGUCAGAUGUGAAAGUUUGCGGCUCAACCGUAAAAGUGCAAUUGAUACUGGCAGUGUUGAGUACGGUUGAAGUAGGCGGAAUUCGUGGUGUAGCGGUGAAAUGCUGAGAUAUCACGAAGAACUCCGAUUGCGAAGGCAGCUUACUAAACUGCAACUGACGUUGAGGCUCGAAAGUGUGGGUAGCAAACAGGAUUAGAUACCCGAGGAGUC
rnacentral:rRNA from 1 species